GCCUCCACUUGCCACCACACACACCCCUGCCCAACCAACUUGCAAAUAACUCCACCUGCUCUUAAUUUACAGAGCAACAGAUCAUGGAGCUCAAGGGUCACAGAAAGUUUCCUGUGCAAUGUCUGGCUUACAGCUUCCCCUUCAGCAGCACUGUCUGAAAGGGGCACCUGCCCCUCACAACAACAUGCAGACAAGUGACCCAGGACAAAAGAACAAACCUCAGCCUAUCCCAUUGCAACCAGCAGCUCUACAGGACCUGGGCCAGACCCAGGUCACCAGAAAGGCUCAGGUCAAUACCCACUUUUCUAAGGACAAAAUUAAACAUUUCAGCUACGUUGGAAUCACAAAGAGAAAAUUCAAGGGAGGAACUAACAAGAAGAAAGAGCUUACUUCCAUAUACCUACUAAAAGGCAAAGCUGGGAGAGAAGAAAGAAAAAGCACUGAGGUUUUAAGUGCCACGCUACAAGUCAUAACUCCCGCCCAGUGCCAUGUGUAGUAGACUGCAAGCAUGGACUCUGCUCAGCCUACCUUCAGCAUAUCAAAGCCUGCUUGCAGACUGUGCCUGCCUGGGAAGAGCAGGCUUGUAUCCAAAUAGUGAGGGGGGAGGGGAAAAAAAGUGCAGCUACGGCAACAUCGCCAGAAAGCAUCUAGCCAGCAGAAACAAGCAGCUGGCUCAUAGAGAAUAUAACUGUUAUUAGGAGGUCUAUUUCAGACCAGGAGACUCAAGUUUUGAGGCCCUUUCCUUAUUAGUCCUCACUCACAUGCCCCACAGAACAUGGUAUGUCAUAUUCAUGUCAGUCUCAGCAGUUAAAGCAAGGACUUGCCUAGAUAAUAAAAUGUGGACAGAAAGUUCAUUUAAUGCAGCAAUGCUGUUGUUGACUGAUGGUGUUCUAAAGCUGCAGAAACCUGUCAGGUGUCGUGUGUCAGAAUCACUCAGAACCUUAAAAUCAAGCAAAUGAGAUGAUGCAGGGUUCCUGGCUAUUUGGUAACCCUUAUCAAAGCAUCAUCUGUUUCACAGGCUUGUGUCAAGUUCAAAAAUUACUCAUAUGCGAUAUGAAAAUGAUCCCACUGAGCAAACAGCCACUGUGCAAAAAAUGCAGGAAGGGUUUAGAUUUCAAAUGGCAGCUUUAGAUUUUGAACAAGAUAUGCCCCCAGUCAUGCAGUUCUAGGAUGUGAACCUGCUAUUCCCAAAUUCUCCAAGUGCUAGGCUAGCAAACAAGUGGCAAUCAACACCACUGAGCUCCCACACAGACACACGCUUGAGCCAAUGACCUUACCAGUAGGGCUGCGCCAAACGGACUCUAUUCGAUUCGGAUUUGGACUGAAUCGGGGACAGUGAAUCUGAAGAUUCGAUGCUGAUAUGGCAAAUCAACGAUUCAGACACAGGCUCAACUUUAAAAGUUUUUUUCUACGUACCUUGAGGUAGCAGGUGCAGCUUGUGACUGCUGCGGUGCUGGGGUGCAUGAAGCGUCCCACAGCAGCACGGGGGGCUCUCCAGCAUGCUUGGCAGUGAACCCAGAAAUGGACCGGGGGGCACAGGGGGGCCCCCCCGUGCACUUCCCAGUGGACCGGGAAGUGGACCAGAAGUGCUUCUGAUCUACUUCCAGGUCUGCUGCCGAGCACGCUGGGGAGCCCCCCAUGCUUCUUUGGGACGCUGCAUCUGCCCCAGCAUUCAGAGCCCCUACUACCUAGAGGUUUGUAGAAAAAUCAUUUAAAGCUGUAUCUACAUCCAAAUCGCUGAAUCCAUCCAAAUCAACUCUGCCUGCUUCUAGCAGAAAUAAAUGAUUUAAAAUGAAGCCUCCAUGUUAACACCCACGUUGAAAAUUACUUAGCAAGCCCCAGCUCUCAGGUUUAGGUACUUUACCCACUAUUCUCCUGCUCUGUGUGUCUGCUAACAUAACCCUCCUGCACAGGGGUGUUGCCAUAUCUGUGAAAUAAAUCACAUUUUUUCUUUUC